AAAAUCUUGGCUCCAGAUUCAAAAUUCAAAGCGUAUACAUAUAUAACCUACAUUAUUCUGGCUCCACUUUCAAAAUUCAAUCCCUCUCUCAAAUCCAGAGCAGCUCCACAUCCAAUCGUAAACCCUAGAACCUCCUCCAUCGCCGAUUCUCUCCGGUACAGUGAUCUUUGGGCCCUUUUUCAGAAACAUGUUGUCUGUGGCUACCUAAAUUAUACGCCGUUUGCCCUAUGCAAGUUUUGGUGACCACAACAUCAGGAUUUCGUACCUAAAUUUCGAUCAAGAUGUCGAUGCUUCAUUCUAUCUUCGCUAAGGGGGCUUUUAAUGUGAAAUGUUUAGGUUAAAGUUGUUGUGGUAGUGAAAUUAUCGUAUCAGCUGUGCUGGAUACCCUACCAACAAGAGUUUCACUGAUCCCCCAAAGCCUCUCAUCCAGAGUGCCGAAUAUCAAGUUUAAUGUUGCGAAGGUCUUGCAAUCUCGAGUUCCUAUAGUUGACCAUUCAAAAUUUGUGUUUGGAAAUAAGCAUGGUGAGAGUCAACUUCUUUGAGAAACAGGCCUUAAUACAUGUCGUUUAUCAUCCUGUGGCUACCUAAAUUAUACGUCGUUUUCCCUAUGCAAGUUUCGUGACCACAACAUCAGGAUUUCGUACCUAAAUUUCGAUCAAGAUGUCGAUGCUUCAUUCUAUCUUCGCUAAGGGGGUUUUCAAGGGUUCCAAAUGGUAAAACCUUAUCUAUAUGCUUAAUUGUGUUUUUGUCUGGAUUUACCUUGUGUUUGUUAAUUGACAGUGAAAUGUUUAGGUUAGUAUUGUUUCAAGAUUGUUAUAUUAAAUGCUGACAUGACAAUGGCAAGAUACCCAAAAAGAGAUUCAACUGUAAGUAACAUCUACUGUAAUAAUUGAUGAACACUUCAUAGUUUUGUUCUGGUAAAUAACUGAACAAAUCCAGACGUUGAUUCCCUCUGAUUCUCCGUCGAUCGACAAUAUAAAUCACCGUUUCCUACAAUCGCUUAAUCACCGGUGGAUGGAUAUAUUUGAUAAAUUCACAACCAACUGAUUCAGGUUCUGAAGAACUCGAUGCUCUAAGAGGAAGGUAUAUAUGAAGAUUAAUAGCUGUAAUUAUCCAUCUGAUACCGCCCUUCUGGAAAGUUGCACUUUCUAUUUCAAGUGGAAAAUUCGCAAAGAAUAAAAGUGAGGAAAAAGCACAAGGGAGAUAUUUUGGUCAUUCUCUUGAAGUUGUAACUGGAAUGAUACAUGAGAGUGUUACUUCGAAUGACAUAAGAGUGUUACUUCGAAUGGUUAAAAAAUAGUAAUCCAAUUUAUAAAAAAAAGAAGUAAUUUAGAAAGUUGACCUUUUGAGGUGUGAUUGACCUUUAGUAGUGUGUUUAUGUUAAUCUUGAUAAUCCAGCCCAAGUAGUGCUCUGGUGUAAAAAGCCAAGUGCCCAUGGAGAAAUCUAAAAGGCAUAACUAUGAUUCAUCCUAAAGCCCUACACUAACGUAAAUGAAGAGCCAUUCAGGCAACCUAAUUUCAUUUUGAUCCCCGACAUUUCGACUGACGAGUGAUAUCUCCCGCUCUUUUUGUGUUCGCUAAUUGAUCAGAGUCGCUUCCUCCUUGAGUCUCUGCUGCCACCGAUGGCCGUCGCCCCACAGUUCGGCAGCCACUUGAUCGAAGCCGGAAAUCUGUAAUCAAAGUUUCAAACAAAAGGAGGAUUGGCUAAGGACCUCAACCGUUUGGUCUUUAUAUUUAAUUACUAAUAUACAUUUGCGUUGGCGAAUUGAUCCUUUGGUGGAUUGCUUAUGUCUUCACAUACAGUAAAACAAGUGUUAAUUUUAUCACCGCUCCACCGCCGUACUGGCGGAACCGUCAGCCACUACUGCAACGCUUCAUGUCCAGAGCAUGCCGCAUUAUGAUGCGUUUAAAGUUGUUCAAAAAAGAAAUGGCAGGAUUGUUCGAUUGGUGCAGCGCGGAUGGCAGUGCUUUUUUUGCUUUAAGGAAUGUGGUUCAAUAUUACGCACCGGCUAGCUGAACAGUUCGAUAGGGUGCGCACAGCUAGCUGGGGAGUUUGAUUGGCUUUUACCCUAUGUUUAGGAAGUGCUUGAUCAUAUCCUGUUCAAGAUGGGUCCUUCUAAAAUCAAGAUUUCAGAGGUGAUCUCCAACUAAGGUCUCCUUUAUAGAUGAAUAUAUAAUAGAAGUUUCUUUUUCUUGUUGAUGUUCUUAGUGCAUUGAUAGAUGUGGGAGGACAUGCUAGGAAGUUGGAUGCUUCAUUUGAAAUUCUACAAGAAGCCAAGAAUAAUAAAGGAAUAGUUGGGAUCAUAUCAUAUAGCUAAUUGAUGGGAGCAUUUAACAAUGCAAGUUUUAAUCAUACAACAACCUUAUGCACUAUAAUCUAGAGAUGAGCUUGGUACUAUCUGGUACCAAAAAUCCCAAAAAUGGGUACCAGUAUCGGUACCGAAAAUACCUGCUAUAGUACGGUUCAUUACCGAUAGGGUAACCACAGUUAGGUUAAACAGUGUUUGAAACCACUGUUGGGUUAAACAAUGUUUCGAAACGACUGUUAGGUUAAACUGUGGUUUCAAAACACUGUUGGGUUAAAACAGUGCUUUGUGGAGAAAACAGUUGUUCGUUUUUUCCAAACAGUAGUUUGACUUUGGUCAAACAGCGUUUUGACUGUUGGGUCAAACAAUUAGGUUAAACAGUGUUUGAAACCACUGCUGGGUUAAACAGUGUUUCGAAACGACUGUUAGGUUAAAUAGUGGUUUCAAAACACUGUUGGGUUAAAACAGUGUUUUGUGGUGAAAACAGUGGUUCGCUUUUUUCCAAACGGUAGUUUGACUUUUUCCAAAUAGUAGUUUGACUUUUUCUAAACUGUGGUUUGACUUUGGUCAAACUGUGGUUCGACUUUGGUCAAACAGUGUACAUAAAGUAAGCUCUUGAACUGUGAAUUUAUUUUAUUUUGAAUUUUUUUUAUACACAUGAUCUUGAACUGUGAUUGAUAUUGUAUCAUCAAAUCAUCAAAUACAAAUUCAACAUCUCAAACACGUUAAAUUACUAGACCUGAAAACCAUUGGAUACAAAAACAUAGUUCAUUAACAUGAAUUCAGCAAUAUGUUCCUGACUCUUUUAACCUCUUCAUGAUUUACUCUGUUUUGUUUUGUUCAACGUACAACUCGGCUUCUCAAUCAAUUAAACCAUGCACCCUGCUCUCCAGUUUAGUACAGGUUAUAGGUUUAUAGUUUAAAACUUGGAACUAGACGUGUAAACCGAACCGACCAUUUAAAUUUCCUUAUCUAUUUUUUUCAUCAUUUCAGGAAUUUAAAGUUAAGUAUAAAUAGUUUCAUUAUGGAUUCUAAGAUAAGAGCUAAUGGGGACUUCACCUAAAGACCUGGACAAAGAUUUACGGCUUCAAUAUUCAUAUUUGUCAAGAAAGAUCUGAGAAUAUUUUCAGGCAAUUUCAUGAACCAUUUGUGAUGCCGCUAAGAAAGCGUCCGUGUGCAAAGCGGCUUAAAAAGAAAGAUGAGCAAGAACAAGAUGGUAAUCACUGGUUAAUCGAAAACGGUUGUUGAUCGAUUGAAGUUUAGUUAGUCAGACUCAUUAAUCGGUAGUCGGUCAAGGUCGGACCAAAUUGGUCUACAUCGGAUGUGAUAGAUAUGCAAUGAUUGAAUGUGAGAGAUUAGAUAGAAGUGAUAAGUUUUAUGUGCUAUUGAUUAGAUCCUUGAGAGCUGUAAGUUUGUAUUCAGCUGUAUUGAUGUUGAAUGACUAUUGGUGAUUUGAAAUUAUGGUUCAUGAUAGUUUGAAUGAGAAGUUUCUAUAGUUUGUUUG